AGUCACCCAAAGGCUGCAGUGGCAGGAGGAAAACUGCAGCUCGAAAUUCACAAGGAUUUACAGCACAGAUUUGUGUGGCAUGUCAUCAGAUCCCCCCUGCUGAUGCUGCUUAGUUCCACCAUGUUGCACCGCUUGAGAGACCGGGAGCUGCUCCGGAAGAGAAAGGCAGAAGCCGAGGAGAAGGAUUCGAUUCAGUGGGCUCUGGGGGAGCAUGAGAGAAGCAAGCGGCAGAGGAGAGGCCAAGGUGCCAGGCGAGGAAAGGGCCGUGAGCAUGUCGUGGAGCCUGCACCACAGUCAAAACCACAGCCAAACCCUCAGCCCCCGAAGAAGGAGGAAGCUGAGAAGAUGUCCUCCGCGGCGAUGCAGCAAGCCGAGUCUUCCCAGAUGGACGUGCAGGACCUGUUUGCUGGGGUGCAGCUGUCAGAUCUGGAAGGGAUACUGGCCUCUGGGAGCCAGAGUCCCCUGGGUGAAGAGGAUAUGCUGAAGCUGGCAGACGAAAUACAAGAGGUCCUGAAUACUUCACUGGAAAAGAACGAACCAGAUAACGACGUGUACUCAUCAAGCCUAUUUUAAAGUUUUAUUUAAAAUAUAUAUGUAUUCUUCUAAUUUUUAUGACUAAGAAAUACUGAAAAGCCUUGCAGAGAGACUUAAAGUUGCUCCUUCCUCAGCAACAAUAAAAACCUGACUCUCUCU
rnacentral:lncRNA from 7 species